rnacentral:lncRNA from 1 species
GUUAUUUCUUGUCUUUUUAAUAAUAGCGAUUCUGACAGGUGUGAGGUGAUAUCUCAACAUAGUUUUGAUUUGUAUUUCCCAAAUAAUUAGUGAUGUUGAACAUCUUUUCAUGUGUUUAUUGGCCAUCUGUAUAUCUUCUUUGGAAAAAUGUCUGUUCAUAUCCUCUGCCCAUUUUUUGAUUGGGUUGUUCAUUUUUGUUGUUGUUCAGUUGUAUGAGUUCUUUAUAUGUUUUGAAAGUUAACCCCUGAUAUUGGAAAAUAUUGGAAGUAUUUUCUCCCAUUUGAUGGGUUGUUUUUUUUUUUUUUGUCUAUGGUUUCCUUGCUGUGCAGAAGCUUUUUAGUUUAAUGUAGUCCCAUUUGUUAGUUUUUUCUUUUGUUUCCCUUUCCUAAGGAGACUUGAUAUUCAAAAAGAUACUGCUAAGACUGAUGUCAAAGAGUGUACUUCCUAAAUUUUCUUCUAAGAUCACUCCAGUGUUCAGGGCCAGCAUCUUCAAAUAUCUCUCUGCUUCCUCAACACAUCACCUUCUCCUCUACGUGUGUCAGAUCUCCUACUGCAUCCUCUUACAGGGACACAUGCAGUUAGAUUUAGGACCCACUUGGUUAAUCCAGGACAGUCUCCCCAUCUCAGCACCCUUAACUUACUUGUAUUACAAAGGCCCCUUUCCCAGAUAGAGUACCAUUUACAAGUUCUGGGGAUUCGGGCCUGAUAUCUUUGGGGAACAUUUUCCAGUCUCCCACAGAUUUGGAAACAGCAUGCCUAUGAUAUUGGCUCAUUGAAACUGUUACUGACCAAUGGGGAAGUUCGAAUAUUAGGAUGGAUAAACUAACAUAACAGAAUAAAAUUUGACCUUCUAUGGACAUUGACUUCCCAGACCUUGGCUUACCCACUUGUACCUCCGAACUUAAGGACUUGUCGUAUAAUCAGAGAUUACCUUAUAAUCGGAGAUUGCCUUACAUAUUUCUAUUUUCUGUAGCCCAGUGUUUUAAAAUUGCAGGCUAUGAAUCAUUAGUUUGUUUCGAAAUCAGUUUAGUGGGUUGUGACCAGCGUUAAAAGAUGUUAGAGGGCCAGCCCUGCUGGCCUAGUGGUUGAGUUUGGCAUGCUCUGCUUUGGCGGCCCAGGUUCUCUUCCCAGGCGCAGACAUACACCACUUGUCAGUGACCAUGCUGUGGCGGCAGUGGUUCACAUACAGAAAGUGUAAGAUUGGCAACAGGUGUUAGCUCUGGGUGAAUCUUCCUCACCAAAAAAAAAAAAAAAGAAAGAAAAAAGGAAAUAUCAGAGUACAUCACAUGUAGUGAGGGUAAUUAUUGUUUCAUGAAACAAUAUGUGUGUGUAUGUGUGUAUUGGACCAUAAUGUAAAAUAAUACUUCUUGCUCUGGGUUGUGGUAAAAUGGAAAGCCUCUGCUGUAAGCAAUUUUGUUAUUCAUCAUACUCUAUGGCAACUAUUCCUUGCCAUUAGACAGAGCAAGAAUUGAAGCUCACAGCAACUUCAACUUCUUAUUGUGUGGCACUGUCCAAGGGGCAGCUCUCCUCAAUACUUAUCCAUAGGAGGUGUCAUUAUCUGGAAAGGAAAGCAACUUCAACAGCUGAAAUAGUAGAGAUUGGCACCUGAGCUAACAUCUGUUGCCAACCUUUUUUUUUCUUCUUCUUCUCUCCAAAACCCCCCAGUACAUAGUUGUAUAUUCUAGUUGUAGGUCCUUCUGGUUGUGCUGUGUGGGAUGCUGCGUCAGCAUGGCCUGAUGAGCGGUGCUAGGUCCGUGCCCAGGAUCCGAACCAGCCAAACCCUGGGCUGCCAAGUGGAGUACGCUAACUUAACCACUGGACCACGGGGCUGGCCCCUGGACUGAUCAAUUUUUAACAGCAUGUACUUUUAUUUUUCAUUAAAUAUAUAGGAAAAACUUUCAUUAUGAUAUCAAAAAAACUGAUUAGAGCUAUUACAGAAUUUUUAUAUGUGGUUCUUAUUUAGUUAUUCCUGAAAGCUGAAAACCCAAGUUUGGUACAUGCAUAUAUUUAUUAAAGGAAUACUGUGCUUUUUUGUCAUAUUCUAAUUCAUAAAUAAUAUUUAUUAUGUUUUACUAUUAUGAAUUGAGUAAUGAGAAAAGCUAUAUAGAUUUAUUCUUGGUUUUAUGACAUUAUAAAAAUAUAAACUAAUUCUAUUAGUUCCUGCAUCAUUUUAAUCUUGAUUGCUUUUAAUAAUUGAGCUGAUGAGAUACAUUUAAUAAUCUAUUUCUCAGUUUUUAAAAAAUAUUCAUCAAUGUACAUACAUUAACAGAUUUAUUUGAAUUGAAAAUUAACUCAGACUUUUUCUCAAAGUGCAUUUUAUUUAGAUGAUUGGCUUGGCAAUGAAGAUUGACUUUACUAAUUAGAUUGUGUGGCCAACAGCACAUUUUCUAUAAUUGAAUAAUUUAUACCUGCAACUCCAAGAUUUGGCAAAAACAUAUAAAGCAUAUGAAAUAAAAGUGUUUUAUCAAAAAUAUUUUAUGUUAAAUUAAUGUUUCCAUUUUGCUAAUCCUUUAAGAGUUAUCUCAGGUAAAGCAAGGUUCUUCUAAAUGAAAACAAAACAAAGAUUUGAUAAAUCCUAGUAUUGCCACAAUAUUUCCCAGACAUUGUGAAAGUGAAUGUCUAUAAUGGUUGGAUAAUAAAUUCUUUUUUUUUGACUCAAAUCUUAGAUUCUCUUUUGGAGCCUUUUCACUGUUUAGAAGGUUGUUUUUGAGUUGCAAAAAUUCUCUCUAUUUUUCCCUGUAUUACCAUGUGUUUUUCUCCUAUAUUCCCCCAUUCAAUCUCAGCUCCCACAGUCAGACAGACAGAAAGUGUGAGGACACUUUCUUCUUGCAUCUGUAGUGGAAUACUUAUUAGCAGACAGUAAUUCUCCAGGUCAAUAUAUUCUUUUAAAAGUCAGAUUGAGAACAAUUCUUUGUUUUCAGAAAAAUUGAAGGAGGGACUAGUUGUCAGCUGCUAGAUCAUUAUGAAUAAUUUUCACAAUAGAUUUCUAUGUAAUUUUUGGCACAUAAUUUGGAGUGAGUUCAAAGAAUUGGGUGAUAUUGCUAUAACCUAGCUUUUCUCCUUCUCAUCUACUUACUCAUGUGAAUAGAGUUUCUUAGUGCUUACGUUAUGUCCACAUAAAUGAAAACAAG